UACAGAGGUCCCAAGCGUUGUUCGGAUUCACUGGGCGUAAAGGGUGCGUAGGCGGUCGGGUAAGUCUGAUGUGAAAUCUCACAGCUUAACUGUGAAACUGCAUUGGAUACUAUCCGGCUCGAGGAAUGGAGGGGAGACUGGAAUACUUGGUGUAGCAGUGAAAUGCGUAGAUAUCAAGUGGAACACCAGUGGCGAAGGCGAGUCUCUGGACAUUUCCUGACGCUGAGAGACGAAAGCUAGGGGAGCGAAUGGG
rnacentral:rRNA from 1 species